CUGCGAGUGAAGCGGCAAAAGCUCAAAUUUGAAAUCUGACGUUCAUUCGGAUGUCCGAGUUGUAAUUUGGAGGAGCGUCUUCGGGAGCGGACACCGUCCUAAGUUCUUUUGGAACUGGACAUCACAGAGGGUGAGAAUCCCGUGCCUGGGCGGCAGUCUGUUCCCAUGCGAAGCGUUUCCGACGAGUCGAGUUGUUUGGGAAUGCAGCUCAAAACGGGUGGUAAAUUUCAUCUAAAGCUAAAUAUAGGCGAGAGACCGAUAGCGCACAAGUAGAGUGAUCGAAAGAUGAAAAGCACUUUGAAAAGAGAGUUAAAAAGUACGUGAAAUUGUUGAAAGGGAAGCGCUUGAGAUUGAACCUGGAGGGAUGGCUGCUAUGUCACGGUCCUACGGUCCCUGACCUCUGCAAACGUCAUCUCCACCCCAGGCCACCAUCGGUUCUGACGGCGAGAAAAACAGCCAGGGAAUGUGGCUCCCCUCGGGGAGUGUUAUAGACCUAGCCUAUUUGCGCCAGCCGGGACCGAGGAAACAGCGAGCUGGGUUUAACCCCAUGGCCUCAUGGAUGAGUGGCAUGUUGAUCUUAAGCGACCCG
rnacentral:rRNA from 1 species